CGGAGAGUUUGAUCCUGGCUCAGGAUGAACGCUGGCGGCGUGCUUAACACAUGCAAGUCGAACGAUGAACUGGCGCUUGCGUUGGGGAUUAGUGGCGAACGGGUGAGUAACACGUGAGUAACCUGCCCUUAACUCUGGGAUAAGCCUGGGAAACUGGGUCUAACACUGGAUAUUGACUUUUCCUCGCAUGGGGUUUGGUUGAAAGCUUUAGUGGUUUUGGAUGGACUCGCGGCCUAUCAGCUUGUUGGUGAGGUAAUGGCUCACCAAGGCGACGACGGGUAGCCGGCCUGAGAGGGUGACCGGCCACACUGGGACUGAGACACGGCCCAGACUCCUACGGGAGGCAGCAGUGGGGAAUAUUGCACAAUGGGCGAAAGCCUGAUGCAGCGACGCCGCGUGAGGGAUGACGGCCUUCGGGUUGUAAACCUCUUUCAGUAGGGAACAAGGCUACACGUUGUGUGGUUGAGGGUACUUGCAGAAGAAGCACCGGCUAACUACGUGCCAGCAGCCGCGGUAAUACGUAGGGUGCAAGCGUUAUUCGGAAUUAUUGGCGUAAAGAGCUCGUAGGCGGUUUGUCGCGUCUGCCGUGAAAGUCCGGGCUCAACCCCGGAUCUGCGUGGGUACGGCAAACUU
rnacentral:rRNA from 1 species